AGGCCGUUUUGAGGGCAAUUUCGUAGUAACCCUUUAUAGUGUUCCCAUGCUUCAUAAAGUGACUCACCCAGGUUUUGCUCAAAGUUGACUAUCGCCUUCUUGAGUUU